rnacentral:rRNA from 1 species
CGCCCACCCUCUAGCCCCCGCCCGCAUCUAAAUUUUCACUAUCAGCAAAUUCAAAUGCACAUCAGACAUAAACUAAAGCAUUCUCUUGACCAAGUAAAGGAGAUAGAAACGUAUCAAGGAGCAAUAGAAAAAGUACCGCAAGGGAAAGUUGAAAGAGAGAUGAAAUAGCCCUAUCAAGCAUAAUAAAGCAAAGCUUAACUCUUGUACCUUUUGCAUCAUGAUCUAGCAAGCAAAUAAAAGCAAAAAGUCUUUUAGUUUUUAACCCCGAACCCAAGUGAGCUACUCCAAGACAGCCUAAUUUUAGGGCCAACCCGUCUCUGUGGCAAAAGAUGUGGGAAGAGCUUAGAGUAGAGGUGAAAGACCUACCGAACUUGGCUAUAGCUGGUUACCUAAGAAAUAAAUAGAAGUUUAGCCUCUUGAUUUCUUUUGUCCUUCACCCAACCCCGGCAAGACUAAAAGAUUCCUAGAGAGUUAUUCAAAGGGGGGACAGCCCCUUUGAACAAAGAUACAACUUUUUAAGAAGGAUAAAGAUCAUAAAAAUUAAGGAAGGA